UUCUUGUAGUUUAAAAUAAAAUAUAACAUUGAAAAUGUUAAGUUGCUAAUGUCAA
rnacentral:tRNA from 1 species